rnacentral:rRNA from 1 species
GUAGGGAAUAUUGCACAAUGGGCGAAAGCCUGAUGCAGCAACGCCGCGUGCGCGAUGAAGACCUUCGGGUUGUAAAGCGCUUUUCUGAAGGAAGAGGAAGGACUGUACUUCAGGAAUAAGGAUUGGCUAACUACGUGCCAGCAGCCGCGGUAAUACGUAGGAUCCGAGCGUUAUCCGAAUUUACUGGGCGUAAAGCGCGUGCAGGCGGUCUGAUAAGUUGGAUGUGAAAGCUCCUGGCUCAACUGGGAGAGGCCGUUCAAAACUAUCAGACUAGAGGGCGGUAGAGGGAGGUGGAAUUCCCGGUGUAGUAGUGAAAUGCGUAGAUAUCGGGAGGAACACCAGUGGCGAAAGCGGCCUCCUGGACCGUUCCUGACGCUCAGACGCGAAAGCUAGGGGAGCGAACGGGAUUAGAAACCCCGGUAGUCC